AUCAUUCUCAAGCUCCCAUCUCUCCAUCUGACCUCCCUCAAACUAUCCGAUUCACUCUCACCAUCUCUCAAGCUGACCGACGCCGUCCCAGCCGAAGCUCGACCCACUCCCGCCUCAUCCCUCAGCUCGCCGACCAGCCAGAAAAACAGUAGUAGAGGAGCAAUAAGAGCUGAAGUUCUGCUACUCAUAUUUGUAUUUAUCGAGAUCGAGGGGAGGUUGUUUUUGGAAGAUUUUGAUGUCUCUGACUAAGGGACCAAAAAUUUCAUUGGAGGAUGAAAUUUGUGACAUAUGUGGUGAUGCUGGUUUUGACAAUGCAUUAGCUACUUGCUCCAGUUGCUGUAGUCAUGAACCUGGUUAUUGCAUGCUGGUUGUUCUCCAUGAUAUUCCAGAAGAUUGGAUUUGUAAAUCAUGUCUGUCAAGUGGGAUGGUAUUGCCAGAAGCUGGUGGGAAGGACAUCACCAUGAGAACCGUGACAAUAUAUUGCUCUGAAAUGACUAAAGCAAGUCUCAGUAUUUUUUUUUUCUUUUUUUGAAUGAGAUACUUUCAUUAAACAAUCAAGAAAGAUUUUUAAAUUGAUCAGAAACAAAAGAAAGAUACUUACAUGAAAAAUUAGAAACAAUCAAAUGACAAGCAGCAACAACAGCAGAACACAAUACCAAACUGCUAGAUAGUGAUUCUAUAAUUAAGACACAUGUAUCCAAAUAACUAGACAGUACCCUAUUGUUCAAUUUUUUUGAACCCAUUGCAUACUCCCAUUCUAGCUCUAACAUCAUUCUUGAUCAACCCAUAAUCUUCUCCUCUUUGUGAAUCAGACCAUUGUGAACUCUUGCAGUUCUUUAAAGCCAGACAUGAUAAAUGAAAGAAGCCGAAGCAAGCUUGUAUAAGCUUGUAUAA